UACAUAGGUCUCGAGCGUUAUGCGGAAUCACUGGGCUUAAAGCGUGUGUAGGUGGCUGCCUAAGUACCUUGUGAAAUCCCACAGCUUAACUGUGGAACUGCUUGGUAUACUGGGUGUCUUGAGUCACUCAGGGGCGAGCGGAACAAAUGGUGGAGCGGUGAAAUGCGUAGAUAUCAUUUGGAACGCCAAUGGUGAAAACAGCUCGCUGGGGGUGUACUGACACUGAGACACGAAAGCCAGGGGAGCGAACGGG
rnacentral:rRNA from 1 species